UACGUAGGGUGCAAACGUUGCUCGGAAUCAUUGGGCGUAAAGCGCACGUAGGCGGCUACUUAAGUCGGAUGUGAAAGCCCUUGGCUCAACUGAGGAAGUGCACCCGAAACUGAGUGGCUUGAGUACUAAAGAGGGUCGCGGAAUUCCCGGUGUAGAGGUGAAAUUCGUAGAUAUCAGGAGGAACACCGGUGGCGAAGGCGGAUCUCUGGGCCUUACCUGACGCUGAGGCGCGAAAGCUAGGGGAGCGAACAGG
rnacentral:rRNA from 1 species